AACACUAACUCCUGAAGGCAGGGGUCUGGAUUGUACGACCUCUGGCGUCUCCGCUCAGCCUCCUGAGUCUUUGAUUCUUUACUGACGAAGAGCAAUCCUACAUCAAUUAGGUCAUUUUAAGAGCUCACAUCCUGAUAUAUCUCUCCCUUAUCCUUUGAGUAGUAACUGCUGUGAAUAGUGGCGCUGAUUAUCAUGCAGGUGAAAAUGAAAUUGAAACUGUGUGGCAGUCUACAGGAUUUACUUGAUGAUCUCCACCUGCCCGGGCUGCCAGCUGUUAUACAUCUUUUUCCGUGAUAUACGUCUACAAAGCUAUGUCAAUGAAAAUUGAUGUUUUUGCUUUUUUGUACAUUGGGGGAAGGGCUGGGGAAUGGUCUAACAUUUUGCUCCCUUUAAUUUUAUUUUCAAAAUAAUAUUUCAUCUGUAAUCAUAUUUCAUAUUUUAAAAUAAUUUGGUAUAAUUGACUUUGAAAUUUCAGUACUUGCCAAAUUUUCCAACCAUGAGGCCCUUGAUUGAUUUAUCUUUUUCUCUGACACUUUAUACCUGCAGUUUGCCAGUAGGAGUUAUAUAUGGCUUAAAAAAAACUAUAAUCACCAGUUAUCCUUUUCAUUGACUGGUUACUUAAAUUUUAAUAUUCAUGCUCUUCUUGGUACAUAAAAGAUGGUGAUAUUGACCUGCCAUUAACAGAGUCUACACUUGAGUCCCCCUCCCCCCAAGGGUUAAGAAGGAGGAGAAUCAAACUCCCAUAAAGAAAAGCACUGAAUUAGGGAAUUAAAAAUCCUGCAAUUGUGUGACCUUGGAAGUCAUUUCACCUUCCUUGGCUUAAUAGUCCCUUAUCUGGAGAACACUGGAGAACAACAUUGUUCACUGGAUAACCUGCAAUGUCCUUUUGCUUCUGGAUAGUUCACAUUGAUUCAACUAUUUGCCUACUUCUAUAUUUCUUCACAUGUAUCCAUAAAUAUAAUUAUAGCUAUAAAUAAUUCACACAAUAGUAAGAAAACUGACUAAGGUAAAGGAGUGCCAUGGAAAGGAGCUCAUUCAUCCCAUAUGAUUAUCACAUAAUCACAGAACUCGGGAGAGAUGGUUCAGAACCCAUCCAGAUUAAGAAGACAGUCAUGAUCUCUGAGCUCUUUAGUGGACUCCUACAUAAUACAAAUGGCAAGCAGUAAAAGUGUUCCAAAGGAGCUUCUAUUUGGUAUAGUUAGUUAUGUGUUUGAAAGGGGAGGAAAUAAGUAUAAAAGUGAAAUAGUGAGAUAGAUUGAAACCUCCAAAUUUGUCCUCCUUGGUACUGACACUACAAAUGUAACCAGUAUUUGGUACUUGUGUACUCACAGUAUCUUUAAUGGCAACUUCAUAAAUCUUACUCUCUAUCAAAGAGUAUACUUUGUUUUCUGUCUUCCUCUUAUUUCUUCAGUAUUCCUCUUUCCAUGAAUGAAAUAUCUCCAUUUUUUUUGCUCUGUUCCUUUAUUACUGAAGUCUGCAUUCUUAUAUGAUGAAACCUCAUAAAAUUUAGCCUAUAUUAAUUUGUGACAACUCCUUCCAUCAUAGACAUACAGACACAUAAAGGGCUGAAACUCUGAAUUGCUUUUCUUACUGGAGUAAGACACACACACACAGACACACUCAUACACAGUACUAAAGUCAAUUCAAAGGUAUUGUGCUUUUCCCACAGUAAACAAUUAAAUAGUUGUUUUUUUUUUUAAUUUAUUUAAUUGGGUUUACUGCAGCUUAAGGUUUUGAGAGAUCUAAUUUUAUUAUGGGGGAAGGGAGCAGAAAAUUCCUUCUCACAUUUUGCAAAAGCUUUAGUGUUGGGGGAGGAAAGAAAGGGAGUAGAACAUCCAACUUUUUAGAAGAUGCAUUGAUUCUUUAGGGAGAUUUAUCUUAUAAAAUGUGGGAAUGUUGGUUUUGAAGAAAAUUUAUAAAAUAAAUAACAUAAUGCUUAAAUUAACCUCAAAGGAGCAGAUUUGAAAAUCUCAUCAGACUUGGACACAAGGAGGAAGGAGCAGUUAAAAGUGAUUUCUUGAUUAUGUGGGCUGUGGGUUAGAGCCAAAGUCAAUUUGUUUGAUAUUUUCUCUAUUGAUUUCAAUAAAGGAUAAGACUCUGACAAGCUAAAUAAUUGCCCAAUUCAAUAAUAAUUUGAUAUUGCUCUAGGAGAAUGCAAAUUCCUUGAAUGAAGUCAUAUUUAUAUUCCCAGCACCUGUUAGAACAGUUUACACUUAAUAUUUUCAAAAUAUCGUCAAUUUGAAUGGAAGCUGGACCUUAUCUCAACAUUUGUCUAAAAUUUACUAUACAUUUUAAAUUACUUUCAUCCUUUUGUAACGGCCUUCCUAAUUGUGUUUUAUUAGUACUAAAUUUCAGUUAAUAAACAUACUUAAGAUACAAAA